rnacentral:lncRNA from 13 species
UUCACCUGUAAGCUAAACCUAUGUUGUAAACAUGGUAUGACCUGGGUCUCAUUCACCUGUAGGCUAAACCUAUGUUGUGAACAUGGUAUGACCUGGGUCUCAUUCAUUCACCUGUAAGCUUAACCUAUGUUGUGAACAUGGUAUGACCUGGGUCUCAUUCACCUGUAAGCUAAACCUAUGUUGUAAACAUGGUAUGACCUGGGUCUCAUUCACCUGUAGGCUAAACCUAUGUUGUGAACAUGGUAUGACCUGGGUCUCAUUCAUUCACCUGUAAGCUUAACCUAUGUUGUGAACAUGGUAUGACCUGGGUCUCGUUCAUUCACCUGUAAGCUUAACCUAUGUUGUGAACANNNNNNNNNNUCACACUGAUGAAUAAAGAUAUGUUUUGGGAGCUGUUUUACUACUGACGUGUGUGUGUGUGUGUGUGUGUGUGUGUGUGUGUGUGUGUGUGUGUGUGUGUGUGUGUGUGUGUGUGUGUGUGUGUGUGUGUGUGUGUGUGUGUGUGUGUGUGAUCUGUGGCCUAAUGAUAUUAAAUACACACAGAGAAACAAAUUCUCUCUCUCCCAUAAAACACCAUUCUAAUCCCAUCAUUAUAAAGGUCUUCUGAAUAAUUUAUAUGUAACACAUUCCCUUUUCAAAAAACUGUUGGAACAGAACAGUCCUGCAGCUUGUUGAUACACAUUAGUCUCACCUCUAUAGUUCUAUAGCUCUAGAUACAGCCA